UCCUCCAUAGCUCAGUUGAGAGGGGAUGAGACUUACAAUCUCAGGCUCGUGGGUUCAAGCCCCACAUUGGGUGAA